rnacentral:rRNA from 1 species
GAUGAACGCUGGCGGCGUGCCUAAUACAUGCAAGUCGAACGGGGAGUAGCAAUACUCUUAGUGGCGAACGGGUGAGUAACGCGUUGGUACCUGCCCCGAAGCGGGGGAUAACGGACCGAAAGGUCCGCUAAUACCCCAUGUGCUCGGUAACGAGUAAAGGUGAAAACCACUUUGGGAGGGGCCUGCGUCCCAUCAGCUAGUUGGUAAGGUAACGGCUUACCAAGGCGAUGACGGGUAGGGGACCUGAGAGGGUGGCCCCCCACAAUGGAACUGAAACACGGUCCAGACACCUACGGGUGGCAGCAGUAGGGAAUAUUGGUAAUGGGCGCAAGCCUGAACCAGCAACGGCGCGUGGGCGAUGACGGCCUUCGGGUUGUAAAGCACUUUUGACGGGGACGAGGAAGGACGGUACCGGUCGAAUCAGCCUCGGCUAACUACGUG